UUGUUUAACACAUUCAAUGCCACCACGAUUUUCUAAUACUUCCCAGCGAUGCCGCCCUAUAAAAAACGCAAACAUGCUAGGUGUGCUCGCGGCACUGCAGGAUGGAAUUACGUAGCACGCUAGGCGUGUUCACCGGCACUGUUAAGAGCAGUGUUUGUGCUUUUGAAAGUUAAAUUAUGGCAGUUAGUAGAUUCCAAGGGAAAACAAAAUAUGUGCAAG